rnacentral:tmRNA from 1 species
GGGGGCGAACUGGAUUCGACGGAGGUAGUGAGACAAAGGUAGCAUGUCGAGGCUCCACCCACCUCGUUAAAAAGGUGGAACAAACUAAGUGCAAAUCCAAUGCCACUUGCUGCCUAAUAGUUAGGCAUGCCGUUUCUCCUGCGCGUUCCUGCAGCGCUUGAGAAGCGACGACCAGCAGGAUAGCUAACCGGGUUGGCUCCGAGCCUGGGGCGCGAAAUAAUAUCGAAGCUGGUUCUAGGGUAGCCUUCCCCUUCGGUUAGCCUUAGAACGAGAAGAAGGAAGGGGAUAAACAUGUAGAAGCCUUUCGUCAAAUGCUUUCGGACGCGGGUUCGAUUCCCGCCGCCUCCACCA